GUGCCAGCCGCCGCGGUAAUACCGGCAGCCCGAGUGAUGGCCGAUAUUAUUGGGCCUAAAGCGUCCGUAGCUGGCCGACCAAGUCUCCCGGGAAAUCCACCCGCCCAACGGGUGGGCGUCCGGUAGAAACUGGCCGGCUUGGAACCGGAAGGCUCAGAGAGUACGUCCGGGGUAGGAGUGAAAUCCCGUAAUCCCGGACGGACUACCGAUGGCGAAAGCACUCUGAGAAAACGGAUCCGACAGUGAGGGACGAAAGCCAGGGUCUCCAACCGGAUUAGAUACCCUAGUAGUCC
rnacentral:rRNA from 1 species